rnacentral:rRNA from 1 species
CACCAGCGCCACGAGUGGCUAUCACGAUUAUUGGGCCUAAAGCGUCCGUAGUCUGUUCGGUGCAUCCUCUGUGAAAUCGCAGCGCUUAACGUUGCGGCAUGCGGAGGACACGGCCGAGCUUGAGACCGGGAGGCGUGAAGGGUAUUCCAGGGGGACCGGUAAAAUGGUAUAAUCCCUGGAGGACCACCUGUGGCGAAGGCGCUUCACGAGAACGGAUCUGACGAUGAGGGACGAAAGCCAGGGGAGCAAACCGG